rnacentral:rRNA from 1 species
GACGAACGCUGGCGGCGUGCUUAACACAUGCAAGUCGAACGGAAAGGCCCUGCUUUUGUGGGGUGCUCGAGUGGCGAACGGGUGAGUAACACGUGAGUAACCUGCCCUUGCCUUUGGGAUAACUUCAGGAAACUGGGGCUAAUACCGGAUAGGAGCUCCUGCUGCAUGUUGGGGGUUGGAAAUUUUCGGCGGUUGGGGAUGGAAUCGCGGCUUAUCAGCUUGUUGGUGGGGUAGUGGCUUACUAAGGCUUUGACGGGUAGCCGGCCUGAGAGGGUGACCGGCCACAUUGGGACUGAGAUACGGCCCAGACUCCUACGGGAGGCAGCAGUGGGGAAUAUUGCACAAUGGGCGGAAGCCUGAUGCAGCAACGCCGCGUGCGGGAUGACGGCCUUCGGGUUGUAAACCGCUUUCGCCUGUGACGAAGCGUGAGUGACGGUAAUGGGUAAAGAAGCACCGGCUAACUACGUG